CCUUUCUGUAUAGCGGCGGACUGGUGAGUAACGCGUGGGUGACCUGCCUUUAGUCGGGGAUAGCCGUUACGAAAUAGCGGGUAAUACCGGAUAAGAUCGCAAGAUUGUGAUUUUGCGAGGAAAGAUGCUACGUGCAUCGCCUGAAGAUGGGCCCGCUGUCCCAUUAGCUAAGUUAGGUGGUGUAACGGACUACCAAGGCGAAGAUGCGGUAGCCGGCCUGAGAGGGUGAACGGCCAACACCGAGGACUGAGAUACGGCCCAGACUCCAUACGUGGAGGCAGCCAGCUAACGAAUAUUCCGACAAUAGACAGAAAAGUCUGACGGAGCGACGCCGACGUGGAUGAGGAAGUGCCGACAAGGUUGUCAACAAUCCUUCUCUAUCUGCUUGAACGGAACUCAAGC
rnacentral:rRNA from 1 species